CCAAGAAACUUGAAGAGGCAAUUUUAGUUGGUGGUGUGCUUUAAAAUUUCAUAUUGCUGUUCGGUGUUUCUCCAUAAUCGUGUCUUCUAUUUUUUUAGAAUUUUCUAGCAUAUGAACUAUCACAUGAAUUUUCCUAGCUUUGGUGGUCGCGCCGCCCAGGACGCCGGCGGCGGAGACGAAGGCAAUUUGUACUGGGACAUCGUGGCCGAGCCACAGGACCUCCGCCUUGACGAGCUGCUGGACCUAGGCCUCGACGAGAGGCCGGACCUCAGCCUCCCUCUGGUUUUCAUGGCUGAACAUGAGCAUGUCUGUUUGUGGUGUUGAGGUAAAGCUCAGUUUGUUACACAGCAGAGCCAAGGGCAUGUCGUGGACCAAGUACAGCAAGCUGGGCAGCGUGUGCAGCUAGCUUCGGGAGUGAAAUGAGAUAAUACAGAGCAUGACAUGUGCCGAUAGCAUGAAAUUGGAGGAGCUGAAUUCUAUAUUGGUUCCUUGUUGACGUCUGACCCUGUUGAUGUAGUUCUGUAUUGUACAGGUGAUUGCACUUGUGGAAGGAUUAGCCCACUAGUGCUCAGAGGGAACGUGCAUUCUAAGCCAGAUUCAGGUGCUCUGCUCCAGCCUUCAACAAGUCAAUCUUGUUAGUACUAUGGAGUGCAAACUAUGCAGAUGAUGUUUGUGUUUUGAAGUUUCUACUAAAACACAUAUAACUCUUUGGGUGGGUCAGGUGCCCCCUUUCUCAUACAAUUGAGCCGUGUUCACUUUGAGUGUAACUUGUAGCCUUGUAAAUUAAAGAGAACAUGUGUUGAUUCCCCAGUUUAUAGCUGACCUUGCACGCCAAAGUUGGACAAGAUAUUAUUGAGCUAAAGAUAUUCAAAUCCAAGGCUGAGGCUAAUAUCGUAGCUAUGCCCAAGGCCUUGAAUAAAA